rnacentral:rRNA from 1 species
AGUGAACGCUGGCGGUAGGCCUAACACAUGCAAGUCGAACGGCAGCACAGUAAGAGCUUGCUCUUACGGGUGGCGAGUGGCGGACGGGUGAGGAAUACAUCGGAAUCUACUUUUUCGUGGGGGAUAACGUAGGGAAACUUACGCUAAUACCGCAUACGACCUACGGGUGAAAGCAGGGGAUCUUCGUACCUUGCGCGAUUGAAUGAGCCGAUGUCGGAUUAGCUAGUUGGCGGGGUAAAGGCCCACCAAGGCGACGAUCCGUAGCUGGUCUGUGAGGAUGAUCAGCCACACUGGAACUGAGACACGGUCCAGACUCCUACGGGAGGCAGCAGUGGGGAAUAUUGGACAAUGGGCGCAAGCCUGAUCCAGCCAUACCGCGUGGGUGAAGAAGGCCUUCGGGUUGUAAAGCCCUUUUGUUGGGAAAGAAAAGCAGCAGGUUAAUACCCCGCUGUUCUGACGGUACCCAAAGAAUAAGCACCGGCUAACUUCGUG